rnacentral:rRNA from 1 species
CUCUCCUACGGGAGGCAGCAGUGAGGAAUAUUGGUCAAUGCGCGGGAGCCUGAACCAGCCAAGUCGCGUGAGGGAAGACGGUCCUACGGAUUGUAAACCUCUUUUGCCGGGGAGCAACGGGGUCCUUGCGAGGGCCCGAUGAGAGUACCCGGAGAAAAAGCAUCGGCUAACUCCGUGCCCGCAGCCGCGGUAAUACGGAGGAUGCGAGCGUUAUCCGGAUUUAUUGGGUUUAAAGGGUGCGUAGGCGGACGCUUAAGUCAGCGGUAAAAUUGCGGGGCUCAACCUCGUCGAG